GACGCAGGCGGUUUUUCAAGUCGGUUGUAAAAUCUCCCGGCUCAACUGGGAGGGACCAUCCGAUACUGUUGAACUUGAGAGCAGCAGAGGGAAGCGGAAUUCCCGGUGGAGUGGUGAUAUGCGUAGAUAUCGGGAAGAACACCAGUGGCGAAGGCGGCUUUCUGGGCUGUUUCUGACGCUGAGGUCCGAAAGCGUGGGUAGCGAACAGGAUUAGAUACCCUGGUAGUCC
rnacentral:rRNA from 1 species